rnacentral:rRNA from 1 species
AUACGUAGGGUGCGAGCGUUGUCCGGAAUUACUGGGCGUAAAGAGCUCGUAGGUGGUUUGUCGCGUCGUCUGUGAAAUUCCGGGGCUUAACUCCGGGCGUGCAGGCGAUACGGGCAUAACUUGAGUACUGUAGGGGAGACUGGAAUUCCUGGUGUAGCGGUGAAAUGCGCAGAUAUCAGGAGGAACACCGGGGGCGAAGGCGGGGCUCGGGGCAGUAACUGACGCUGAGGAGCGAAAGCAUGGGUAGCGAACAGGAUUAGAUACCCUGGUAGUCCAUGCCGUAAACGGUGGGCGCUAGGUGUAGGGGUCUUCCACGACUUCUGUGCCGUAGCUAACGCAUUAAGCGCCCCGCCUGGGGAGUACGGCCGCAAGGCUAAAACUCAAAUGAAUUGACGGGG